rnacentral:rRNA from 1 species
CAAGUCGAACGAUGAAGCCCUUACAGGGGUGGAUUAGCUGGCGAACGGGUGAGUAACACGUGGGCAAUCUGCCCUUCACUCUGGGACAAGCCCUGGAAACGGGGUCUAAUACCGGAUAACACUUCCUGCCGCAUGGUGGGGGGUUAAAAGCUCCGGCGGUGAAGGAUGAGCCCGCGGCCUAUCAGCUUGUUGGUGGGGUGAUGGCCUACCAAGGCGACGACGGGUAGCCGGCCUGAGAGGGCGACCGGCCACACUGGGACUGAGACACGGCCCAGACUCCUACGGGAGGCAGCAGUGGGGAAUAUUGCACAAUGGGCGAAAGCCUGAUGCAGCGACGCCGCGUGAGGGAUGACGGCCUUCGGGUUGUAAACCUCUUUCAGCAGGGAAGAAGCGAAAGUGACGGUACCUGCAGAAGAAGCGCCGGCUAACUACGUGCCAGCAGCCGCGGUAAUACGUAGGGCGCAAGCGUUGUCCGGAAUUAUUGGGCGUAAAGAGCUCGUAGGCGGCUUGUCACGUCGGAUGUGAAAGCCCGGGGCUUAACCCCGGGUCUGCAUUCGAUACGGGCUAGCUAGAGUGUGGUAGGGGAGAUCGGAAUUCCUGGUGUAGCGGUGAAAUGCGCAGAUAUCAGGAGGAACACCGGUGGCGAAGGCGGAUCUCUGGGCCAUUACUGACGCUGAGGAGCGAAAGCGUGGGGAGCGAACAGGAUUAGAUACCCUGGUAGUCCACGCCGUAAACGUUGGGAACUAGGUGUUGGCGACAUUCCACGUCGUCGGUGCCGCAGCUAACGCAUUAAGUUCCCCGCCUGGGGAGUACGGCCGCAAGGCUAAUA